rnacentral:rRNA from 1 species
UCAAGCUACUAAGGGCAUACGGUGGAUGCCUUGGCACUAAGAGCCGAUGAAGGACGCGGUAAGCUGCGAAAAGCCACGGGGAACUGCAAGCAAGUCUUGAUCCGUGGAUGUCCGAAUGGGGAAACCCACCAUCCGUCAUGGGAUGGUAUCCUACGGGAGGGGAACCCGGUGAACUGAAACAUCUAAGUAGCCGGAGGAAGAGAAAUCAAACGAGAUGCCCACAGUAGCGGCGAGCGAAGAGGGCAGAGCCUAAACCAGUCAUCUUCGGAUGGUUGGGGUUACGGACCUGCAUCAACCGAGUCCUACCUAGUCGAAUUACCUGGAAAGGUAAGCCAGAGAGCGUAAGAGCCGCGUAGGUGAAAGGAAGGACGAGGGGGCAGGGAUCCAGAGUACCACGAAGCACGAGGAAUUUUGUGGGAAGUCGGGGGGACCACCCUCCAAGGCUAAACACUUCUUAGUGACCGAUAGCGCAUAGUACCGUGAGGGAAAGGUGAAAAGAACCGCGGGAGCGGAGUGAAAGAGAACCUGAAACCGUAUGUCUACAAGCAGUCGGAGCGCAAGCGACGGCGUGCCUAUUGAAGAAUGAGCCAACGAGUUACGGGCACCAGCGAGGUUAAGCAGGAAAUGCGGAGCCGGAGCGAAAGCGAGUCUAAACAGGGCGAAUAGUUGGUGUUCGUAGACCCGAAACUGUAGUGAUCUACCCAUGAUCAGGUUGAAGCGCAGGUAAAAAUGCGUGGAGGACCGAACCGGUGAGCGUUGAAAAGCUUUCGGAUGAAUCGUGGGUAGCGGUGAAAUUCCAAUCGAACGCAGAGAUAGCUGGUUCUCCUCGAAAUAGCUUUAGGGCUAGCCUCAAGCAGUAAGCAUAGGCGGUAGAGCACUGAUCGGGAUAGGGUCCGUAAAGGAUACCGAACCCUGUCAAACUACGAAUGGUUAUGCUGCAGAGCUUGGGAGUCAGACUACGAGAGAUAAGUCCCGUUGUCAAAAGGGAAACAGCCCAGACCGUCAGCUAAGGUCCCCAAUGCCAUACUAAGUGGAAAAGGAUGUGGGGUCUCAUAAACAACCAGGAUGUUGGCUCAGAAGCAGCCACCAUUUAAAGAGUGCGUAAUAGCUCACUGGUCGAGAGGCCCUGCGCCGAAGAUUCCCGGGGCUAAAGUAUGGAACCGAAGCUACGGAUGCGGUACUUGUACCGCGUGGUAGAGGAGCGUUCCCAUUGGGUUGAAGUCGUCCUGGAAGGGACGGUGGACUGGUGGGAAGUGAGAAUGUUGGCAUGAGUAGCGAAAAGAUAGGUGAGAAUCCUAUCCACCGAAAGCAUAAGGAUUCCUGAGCAACGAUCGUCGUCUCAGGGUAAGUCGGGACCUAAUCCGAGGCAUGGAGCGUAGGAGAUGGACAACUGGUUGAUAUUCCAGUACCGGCAGCAAUCGUUUGAACGAUGGAGUGACGCAGGAAGGCAGGUCCGCGCGAGAAUGGUAGAUCGCGUACAAGCGUGCAGGCUGGUGCACAGGCAAAUCCGUGUACUGAGGCUGAGGCGUGAUGUGGAGGGAACUUGUUCCCGAAGGGAUUGAGCCUACGCUGCCGAGAAAAGCUUCUAGUGAGAAAGCUGCCGCCCGUACCGUAAACCGACACAGGUAUGCGGGGAGAGAAUCCUAAGGUGCGCGGGAGAACCCUCGUUAAGGAACUCGGCAAAAUGUACCCGUAACUUCGGGAUAAGGGUAGCCACAGUGGUGAAGGGACUUGCUCCUGGAGCCUAGUGUGGUCGCAGAGAAGAGGCCCAAGCGACUGUUAACCAGAAACACAGGUGCCUGCGAAAGAGAAAUCUGAUGUAUAGGUGCUGACACCUGCCCAGUGCUGGAAGGUUAAAGAAGGAUGUCCGGGUUCGACCCAAAGCAUUUGACUGAAGCCCCAGUGAACGGCGGCCGUAACUAUAACGGUCCUAAGGUAGCGAAAUUCCUUGUCGGGUAAGUUCCGACCCGCACGAAAGGUGUAACGAUUUGGGCACUGUCUCAACGAGGGACCCGGUGAAAUUGAAAUACCUGUGAAGAUGCAGGUUACCCGCGACUGGACAGAAAGACCCCAUGGAGCUUUACUGUAACCUAAUAUUGGGUUCUGAUAUUCGACGCACAGGAUAGGUGGGAGGCUUGGAGCAUGGUCCUCUGGGAUCAUGGGAGCCGCCGUUGGGAUACCACCCUUCGAAUAUCGGGAUUCUAACCGCAGGAGCAACGAUCCUCGGGACAGUGUUAGGCGGGCAGUUUGACUGGGGCGGUCGCCUCCUAAAG